rnacentral:rRNA from 1 species
CCUCGGGGGGCUGCAGUGGGGAAUAUUGGACAAUGGGCGAAAGCCUGAUCCAGCCAUGCCGCGUGUGUGAAGAAGGCCUUCGGGUUGUAAAGCACUUUCAGUGGGGAAGAAAGCCUUGGGGCUAAUACCCUCGAGGUAGGACAUCACCCACAGAAGAAGCACCGGCUAACUCCGUGCCAGCAGCCGCGGUAAUACGGAGGGUGCGGGCGUUAAUCGGAAUUACUGGGCGUAAAGCGCGCGUAGGCGGUCUGAUAAGCCGGUUGUGAAAGCCCCGGGCUCAACCUGGGAACGGCAUCCGGAACUGUCAGGCUAGAGUGCAGGAGAGGAAGGUAGAAUUCCCGGUGUAGCGGUGAAAUGCGUAGAGAUCGGGAGGAAUACCAGUGGCGAAGGCGGCCUUCUGGACUGACACUGACGCUGAGGUGCGAAAGCGUGGGUAGCAAACAGGAUUAGAUACCCGAGUAGUC